AACCCGUCUGAUAGCGCU
rnacentral:snRNA from 1 species